CGCGGGCCUCCUGCAAGACAAUGGCCACGACCUGACGCGCGAGCGCCAGCCCCAGCCCGGGAGUCACGCCGCUGGCGCUUGACGCACGCGGAGACCCGGGGGCCGUGCCCCAGCUUUGUGGAACCUGAGGGCGGCUCGGGUCAGGUCGGUCCCCGCGGGAGGACAGGCGCGACCCGUCCCUCAGGACCGACGGCGUGUGGCUGCGGGGGCAUGGGGUGCCCCUCUCGGCCCGGUCGCUCCAGCGAGGGGACGCUGCUUUUUAUAGUCUUCAACAACAACCAGUCCCUACAUUUAAGAAGGUUAAUAACUGAGACAGCCUUCCUGGUGGAUCCAUCAUUUGGCCCAGCUUGUAGAAAGAUUCCCAACUAGCUCUAAUUAGUUCCAUCUUAUUUGGAGGCAGAGGUAUUCCUCAUCAUACCCAUAUCCUCAUAUAAAUUGUCCAGUGCCCUAGGUACCAGGGAGAAAGAAGACGAAGAAGGACAUAUACCAGAAGCACAUUAAUAGGCUGCUGAAAAACUCUGCCACACUUUCAGAUGACAGGUCACCUACAGAUAAAUGAUUCAAGGAUCAACCAAGUUCUGAAGUUUUUUUUUGUUUUUUUUUUUUGGGAUAGAGUCUCACUGUGUCACCCAGGCUGGAGUGCAGUGGCGUGAUCUCAGCUCACUGCAACCUCUGCCUCCCGAGUUCAAGUGAUUCUCCUGCCUCAGCCUCCCAAGUAGCUGGGAUUAUAGGUGCCUGCCACCAGGCCUGGCUAAUUAUUUUUUGUAUUUUUAGUAGAAACAUAGUUUCACUAUGUUGGCCAGGCUGGUCUUGAACUCCUGACCUUGUGAUCCACCCGCCUCAGCCUCCCAAAGUGCUGGGAUACAGGUGUGAGCCACCAUGCCCGGCCAGUUCUUAAUACUGCCAGGAGUGCUUUAGAAGGCUGGGAAUAUGGGGCGAAAGAUUAGACACCCAAGCUGUUGAAAACCACACAGAGUUUCAGUAAAUAUAUGCACAAUUUGAAAAAUAUAUUUGCAAAAAUCUAGGUGUCUCCGGUCUAGUCCUUCCUAUUAAUCAAAUAAAUUACCGAGCUUCAUGGCCCAGUCUAUGAUCCUAGUUCUGACCGCUGCUGCCCGUAAAGGCCUCAAUGAAUUCCUCUCUGAGCUUCCAGACUUCCUUGGCUGGUGACUUGUUCCUCUUGGGACAGCUUUUGCUUGAGCUGAGCAGCCUGGCCCCCAGCUGUGCAGGGCCCUCUCUCCGGUGAGAGGAAACGCUUUCAGCUUAGUCUGUUAACACAAACAUUCAAAAGCAAACAUUCAAAAGCCACAGAUCAUGUUCGCAUAAAUAAAAUAGGAUUGAGAAAAGCUUUGCCCCAAGAAACCAAAGGGGUGUUUAAAAAACAGCUCUUGCUUUCCAAGUAGGCAGGCAGCAAAGCCACAGCAAUUCCAAAGGUUUGUGUGCUUGGUAGAGCUGGGUGGCUGCAGCCGCAGGCCUUUGAAGAGGAAAUGCCAUCCCUGGUACAGGCAGGCGGCCAACCCAUGAGUCCUGAAAGUACCAGAGAGAAGCAGAAAGCAGGGGAGCACAGUUAGGAAGUGAAAAGGGAGAGGAAGGCACCAAGGAGAUAAAUGAGGAGACUCUUCUUAUCUAGAGUUCCCACCCCAGACCUAAGAGCUACAGGACAGAGGAACUCACUGUGCCUGACAGAGCUGGGGCCUGAAAUAGAAAAAGAUGAUUCUAAAAUCUGAUGGAACCACCAAGGAGCUUGAGUGGCCAAAGCAAAAAGAACAAGCUGAAGGCAUCACACCACCCAACUUCAAAAUAUAUUACAAAGCUAUAGUAAUCAAAACAGCAUUGUUCUCCAUAAAAAGACACAUAGACCAAAGGAACAGAUUAGAUCCCAGAAAUAAACCCAUGCAACUAUCUUUGACAAGGCUACCAAGACAUAAUGAGGAAAAAAUAAUCUCUUCAAUAAAUGAUGCUGGGAAAACUGUAUACCCACAUGCAGAAUGAAAUUGGUCCUUGAUGUUUUAUGUGACUGAAGCAGUUUGAAAAGGAGAGUGAAUGAGAGAGUAAGCAAGCUGUAAAAUUAGGUUGGGACCAAGUCAGGGGUUACCAAAUAUCAGGCUGAGCUUUGGUACUUUAUUUGGCAAGAAAAUAAAAC
rnacentral:lncRNA from 1 species